AGAUAGAUAGAUACUUUAUUGAUCCCUAGGGGAAAUUCAAGAUUCAGGCCUGCAGGCUGAAACUGCCUGGCGUCAAGCAGAUGAUGUAGCCUACAGUUACCAAUAUGUGGCAGACUAGAAAUGUUAAAGUUUAGUUUAACACAUUGUGUUAUACAGUAACAAUGGAUGUGUGGAUAGGAUAGUCCACAUUGUUAAGGGCAAUGAUGGCUUUGAGACAGUCGCAAGGUAUGUCAUGGGAAGUGGCUUUGUAGGAAAGUAUCUUGCUAGAUAAUGUAAGAACUGUAAUACCUGGCCAGAACUACAAGGCCCAGAAUGCUUAGCAUGGAGAGAGGAAGUGGCAAGGAAGAAGAGGGAAAGUUAGAUUUGGCGUUGUGGCUGGUGAAUAAACACGCUUUUCAGUUCGAACUCGUUUGUACGUGAAUCCUUAUACUACUAUCCUCCCCCUGAACAUAUCAAGGUUUACAAUAAUUUAGCCUACUUGACGCAAGUAUGGAUGUUUAAUCUGCUCACCAAUAUCGCCAUAGGGGAGCAGUAUUGCCAUAGAGCAGUCUUUUAGGCUAUCCUUGUCUCGGCCUAUCAUUGCAGAGCGCGACCUCCAAAACAUGACGUCAGCCCGCCCUUAAAACAGGCACACACACCCCCGUCUUUAACUGAGAAGACGUAGCUUACAGACAGCAACGAAGAAUUAUCAGCAGCAAAGGAAUCAGCUAAAGAAAACCACACACACACACACACACACACACAUACAAACACACCCCCACUUAAACACACAAAGAACACAUACCAUUGCAAGCAACAAGCACUUUAUUCACCUGCUGGAACUGGAUUUCAAUAAAUCUGUUGAACGAAACCAAAGGUUGCAGCGACUCUCUUACCGGAGUACAUAGCCAGUUCGGGUAGCAGCCAGCGAAUAAUGCACACGGACUUCACAGGUAGUAUAAUACCAGUGGAGAUCACAAAAGGAGGAGAUCGCGGGGGUGCGACACACACACACACAGACACACACACACACACUUUAAGACACACCUCUUUUGUUGCUGGGGACAGUGGCAGACACACAGAAAGUAACCCCUGCCUUGAAGUGCAUUAUUUGUUUGACUUAAAUCGACAGCUGUUGAAGUGGCAUACAAUGGACGGACCUGACAGGCAAAUCAUUUACUGCCUUAAAUGCAAAAAGCCGUAUGGAAACUUGUCCACGCAUAUGAGAAAGGUCUGCAUGAAAAAAGACACGGAGGAAAUGCGGAAAGAACGACUCAGGCAAGCAAAGACAUCCCAAAAAGACUGGACCAAGGUGGCCAGAAGUUGGGAAUACGGUGAGAUCGCGGAGUUAAUGAACAGCGCAGAUCCCUGCCGUGCACUCAUUGAGAGAUUGGAGAGCAAAGGCUUUUUUGUGCUCAAUAACCCAGGACGCUCCACGGCAGAUGUCGUUACAAAUGAAAAAGAAGUGGUGAACAAUGUUCCGGGUAGCCCUGGGAAACAGAACCAUGUCCUGGACAGGUGCCGUUGGAUUCCCGCUGACCUACUCUAUCCCAUUAGUGUAUCGAAGGAAAACCACUUGGUAAAGGUUAGGAAGCAGUCAAGGGCCAGGAGAAGGCACUGCACCAUCCUCCCUGGAAUGUUUUACCCCCACACGUGUCGUUGAAGAUGAGGCAGGAGUAUCCAAGAGACCCGGGAGUAUGUAAUCCUCCAGGUCAAUCAACUGAUUUUCCCACCACGCUCUCAUACUCUGGAACGCCCACCACAGAUGUUUCAUUUUUAACUUCACUUUUCUACGUUUUUGUGUGUGUGUGUGUGUGUGUGUGUGUGUGUGUGUGCCUUUUUUGUCCUUCUCCUAUAAUAAUACAGUUAUUGUUUUAUGCUUUUCUUGCCAGUGCUGAACAUGACCAUAACAUGAGCUGUUUUAAAUUAUACAUUUUCAUUAGACUUCGUAGAUGUAGGUAUUACAGUUUGGAGUCGAAAUUCGAAGUGUAAAUAUGGUUUAAAUGUGUAAACAGGACGCCUGAUAUUUAAUGUAUGUUGAUGAAUGGGAACGGUAUUGUUGUGUGUAGUAAUGGGUUAUUAGUAGGAUGUAAACAGUGCAUGUGUAUUAGCACUUUAUUGAUUAAAUUCUUAUUUCUUGUCUUUCUAGAUAAUGGAGCCCAACUUGUAUUUUGAGCCAGCGACCUCCGAGCUGACCUUGCGGCCAUCUCAGGAGGCGCGGGCUUUCACCAAGUUCAUUGUGAAGGACUCACGCAUAACCAGAGGAGCAAAGCCAUGAUGAGGGACACCAUCGCCAUUGCGGUUUCCGGGGCCCAGCGCUCCCCAGACUGCUGCGAAGCCCCUGCCUGCCCCACGGACUCUGCUGCAGCAGCCUGAGCAGCCAGACCAGCCCCUCCAGCACCACCCGCCCGCCGACGCCUCUGGUCUGGCUGCCACCAUCAGACAGCCGCUGGCCCCGGAACUCUAUGACCUCAUCACGGCCAGCUCCUCCACUGCCUCCUCCUCCUCCUCAGCAGCCGCCCCAUCAACCGGUGCCAGCGCGGACGCCACCGCCGGCGCAGAGGCUGGUGCCACCUCCUCCGCAGCCGCAGCCUCCACUGCUCCAACAGUGUCAAGGAGCACCGCCUGGAGGCAUAAGCUCCAGGCGCAGAAAGAGCGCCGUGCCCGGGAGCUGGGAGAGGACCUCAAGCCAGCGAAGAAGGUCACUCACUUCAACUGCAGGCGCUGUGGCCAACCUAGAACCAGAGAGUUUGGCCACAGUCGCUACAAGAAGGAGACCUUCUGCUCCCGGGCCGAAGGGAGAGGGAGAACUGUGGAGCAGUGGCUGGCAGAAAUGGAGCUGAGGGAUGAGGCAGCUCUCCCUCCUUGAGUGGACACUGUGUGUGUGUGUGUGAUGGGGCAGCUCCCCCUCCCUGAGCGGACACUUUGUGAGUGUGUGUGUGUGAGUGUUUGUUUGUUUGUAAAUAUUGUGUAUAUAGUUUGUGUUUCAUAAUAAAUAUUAUAUAGUUGUUUUAA